rnacentral:rRNA from 1 species
GACGAACCGUGCGAACGUUGUUCGGAUUCACUGGGCUUAAAGGGCGCGUAGGCGGGUGUUCAAGUCAGGGGUGAAAUCCUCCAGCUUAACUGGAGAACAGCCUUUGAUACUGGACGUCUCGAGGGAGGUAGGGGCGGGUGGAACUUCCGGUAGUGCGGUGAAAUGCGUAGAUAUCGGAAGGAACACCGGUGGCGAAAGCGACCCGCUGGACCUCUUCUGACGCUGAGGCGCGAAAGCCAGGGGAGCGAACGGG